UGGACACAACAUUCAAGCCACAUCACACUGUUGGCUUCUUUGGACAUCAUUUACCUGGGUGGAAUAAAUUGAUGACGAGUGGAAUGCCACCCCACCCCUUCUUUCCUGGCAUUAAUCACAUGGAAAGUGAUACAUCUAAAAUUCAAAAGGAAGAAAGAACUUCAGUGAACACAGCAGAGCUGAAGAGACCUUCAGUGAAGAGAAAUCUACUUCAUAGAAAGAUAAUCUCAGAGAAAGGUGCCUGCCUACUGUGCACUUAAGCACACAACAUGUGAUGCAACCAGGACUUCGUUAGCAGCAAUUAGCCACA